rnacentral:rRNA from 1 species
GAUGAACGCUGGCGGCGUGCCUAAUACAUGCAAGUCGAGCGAACGGACGAGAAGCUUGCUUCUCUGAUGUUAGCGACGGACGGGCGAGUAACACGUGGAUAACCUACCUAUAAGACUGGGAUAACUUCGGGAAACCGCAGCUAAUACCGGAUAAUAUUUUGAACGGCAGGGUUCAAAAGUGAAAGAGGGUCUGCCUGUCACUAAUAGAUGGAUCCGCGCUGCAUUAGCUAGUUGGUAAGGUAACGGCUUACCAAGGCAACGAUGCGUAGCCGACCUGAGAGGGUGAUCGGCCACACUGGAACUGAGACACGGUCCAGACUCCUACGGGAGGCAGCAGUAGGGAAUCUUCCGCAAUGGGCGAAAGCCUGACGGAGCAACGCCGCGUGAGUGAUGAAGGUCUUCGGGUCGUAAAGCUCUGUUAUUAGGGAAGAACAUAUGUGUAAGUAACUGUGCACAUCUUGACGGUACCUAAUCAGAAAGCCACGGCUAACUACGUG